rnacentral:rRNA from 1 species
UACGUAUGUUCCAAGCGUUAUCCGGAUUUAUUGGGCGUAAAGCGAGCGCAGACGGUUAUUUAAGUCUGAAGUGAAAGCCCUCAGCUCAACUGAGGAAUUGCUUUGGAAACUGGAUGACUUGAGUGCAGUAGAGGAAGGCGGAACUCCAUGUGUAGCGGUGAAAUGCGUAGAUAUAUGGAAGAACACCAGUGGCGAAGGCGGCUUGCUGGACUGUAACUGACGUUGAGGCUCGAAAGUGUGGGUAGCAAACAGG